UACAGAGGGGGCAAGCGUUGUUCGGAAUUACUGGGCGUAAAGGGCUCGUAGGCGGCCAACUAAGUCAGACGUGAAAUCCCUCGGCUUAACCGGGGAACUGCGUCUGAUACUGGAUGGCUUGAGUUCGGGAGAGGAAUGCGGAAUUCCAGGUGUAGCGGUGAAAUGCGUAGAUAUCUGGAGGAACACCGGUGGCGAAGGCGGCAUUCUGGACCGAUAUUGACGCUGAGGAGCGAAAGCCAGGGGAGCAAACGGG
rnacentral:rRNA from 1 species